CGAUCCGAAAGCAGAGGAAAAGACAGCUGCAGGAUGCUGCACCAGGGUUCUGUGUGUGUGUGUGUGUGUGUAGAGAGAGAGAGAGACACUGAUUUCACCGAGUCUGUCUAAUCUAACUGUAAUGCAAUCUCAGCUGUGCUUUGCAAAUAAAUUAUACAUCUAUAUGCAAUACAAUAUGCAUAUGUAUAAAUAUGUGUGAGCAUUAUACAUAGGUAAAGUGUGUGUGUAUAUGUGUGUGUGUGUGUGCAAUACAGAUAGACAGAGAUGCGAUUAUGUAUUUGUAUGUUACAUGCGGUUUUUAAAUUUGCAAAUAAGUUUCCAUUUCUGCAGACUAGGGGACCUUUUUGGAAAAAAAAUCAGCUCAUUGACCAUGUUUCUAUGGUGAGGAGGUAUCUGUCCCUUCGCCAUCAUCUCUCUCACACACACACACACGCUCUUUUACUGCAGAUAGCUCUGUUGGGAAAUCAAAUAUUCUGCUGUCACAGAGAUCUGGAUGUGACAUGCAUCUAGUUAGGAAAGAGCUGCUCUGUGCAAUGCCCCCCCCCCUUUGUUUUAAAUAGUUUGUUUUAAAAUGUUACUUUGAUCUUGAUCAGUCUGACUUGCUGAAAAUACAUGGGGGUGGGGGGGAGGGACAGCCGGACUACUAGUAAAGCCUUUUUCGUUGCCUGUUUUUGUAUCUUCCCCUUUAAUCCUUAUAAUGUAAAUCAUAAGUGUCUGGGGCAGAUUUAUGUCUGCAGGAUCAGGCUGUGUGUAAAUCUCUUGGAAGGAUAAACAUGUCAUUUGUCCCCUUUGUAUGGUAAUGCUGCCCCCCCCCCCAACAGCUGCCCCAGCCAUGCAUCCUCUCUACAAAACGUCCCAAUUACGCUCCAGAAGUGACCCAUCAUCUACCUCAUUAUUCCCUAGCCCAGACCCAGGGAAGGAGAGGGCUGGGGGUAGUGGGAGGUGGUGUGUUUAUGUGUAUGCGUAGGAGUGGGGGGGGGGACGCAAAGCAAAUGAUUUACAGGCUAAGAAGAAGAGGAGGCUGGAGAAGACCAGGGGAAGGCGGAUGGAGACGAGGGAUGAAGAAUUGCCCAGGCAGAGGCGGGAGGACAGGACGCUUGAGGGCGCAGGGUCAGCACAGUGGGCAUAGAGCCUGCAUGAAAUUUGGGUAUCAGCUAGUGAGGCCUAGCGGGGGGGGGGGUGGAUAAGGGGGCGCAGAGUAGAAAGGGUUUGAAGCGUGGGUGUGGGUGUAAAUCUCUUCAUCAUUCAGAAGGAUCCGCCCCCCUUCUAUGCCCCACACAGGGGCAGCAGCAGUGAGGGGCUCCCCAGCUUUGGGGCUGUUGAAAUCAUUCAAUCCAGAGCGAUAGACAGACAGAGGCUUUAACCCGGCUGCCUGUGCGUUACCGAUCACUCUCGCCAUGGCAGGGCUGGAAAUCUACAGCCUUCUCGCUAGACACCGCCAGAGCUUUGGGUUUACCAAGCGCCCUCCAGCUCCCCCAUCGCCCUGCAGAGAAGGGCCCCCCGCUAGCCCUGAGCAGGUCUGGAGCUGGUUGGUAGGUGGGGGGGCAGGUGCCUCUGCCAAGCCGACCGGACAGAAAGAGGCUCCAUUUCUUUGGCAGGCUCCAGUCCUGUCUCGGCCGUGGCCAGAGCUGGGUCCUUCGCCGCGCGCAGCGGCUCCCCCAUUCCCCUUCCCACGUCCAAAUCGUGGGUGUUGCUUGUUCCUCCCCAGGCUUCCAGACGCAUCACAGAUCGGUGCCCAGGAGCGCUCUUGCGCACAGCUCCGGAAUGGGUUUCGUUUGCUGUUUGUUUGCUGUUAUUUCUCAUUACAGAUGGAGGCCCCUUGCCUAGCCAUGUGAACGGGAGUUCUGGCUCCUUCCUGGUGCUGCCUGGCUGCGGGGCUCAAAGGCAGUGCUCUGGCAUGUCACUGGUUGCACAUUACCUGCCCCAGUGUCCCCGCGCCCCAAUAAUUAGAAGGCACUGGAAGAUACUUGCUCCAGGAUGGAGUGGGCGAGGCCGGCGUGAUCGACACAAACGGGAGUGGACUUACCUUCUGGGGCAGCGCUCGAUCUGAGGGAGUGUUGUACGGGGACAAGUGGAUCAAACGUGUGUGUGUGUGUAAAGAGAGCCUGUUAACACACAGCCACGUCCAUAGCUAUACAGUCCGUUUAUGACCAUAGAACACCAGCGGGGAUUGUCUCUGCUCACCGCCUUGCGUUCGGGCUAUGCCUGCUCUAUAAACGCUUUAAAGCCCUUAAAACUCCACGUCCUCUUUUGCAACUUUUUUUCAAAAUCCCUCCCUGUAUUUAAUAUGUUUUCAGUCCAUGGUGUGUUGUGUGUUUUGUUUUUUGUUUUGUUUUGUUUUUAAUCUUUUCAGCAAAGCCGUUUGCACCUUUGGGGGUUUUCACAUUUGGUUUGGUUCAUUUCGGCUGUUGUAAACGAGGCACGCCAAUAAA